UAGAGGAUGGUCAAGUUAAGUUGCAAUCCCGAUUGGAACAAGAAGAAGAAGCUAAAGCUGCUUUGUUAGGAUGAAUUCAACGGCUGACUAAACUGAUUUUGGUCUCCACAAAAACAUCACAUUCAACCAGAUUUCCUAAUAGGCCUGGUCCUCGUAAAAGACAUUCUUUCAGAGAAGAGGAGCUGGCAUACCUUCCAUACAAGAGGCGGGAUUUAAUAUUGAAUGAGAAAAAUAUUGAUAUGUUAAUCUAGAGGGAAAUGUUGAAACAACUAUUGAUUCUUUGCAGGAGGAAAAAAAGACA